CAGCUUUUAGGUGUUUUUAAUUGCCCUUUGUCACUUUAGCAUCGAACCACUAACAGAAGCGUGAAAUAAACCUUUGACUUCUUCCUCUUCUUCAGCCCAUCCUGAUUUGAAGUUAGGUAGCCCUUGUCCAGUCUCUGGAAGUCUUCCGUAACUGUGGCAUCUUUUAGUUUCCCAGCCAAUUAUUGUAUCUUCUUAUUUCCGUGGGCAAUUUCAUCCAGUGAGGAACUCAGCCUAUUUCUCACAUUGCCCCUAGAGUUAAUUUAAUUACUUGCUUACAGAUGUUUUAGUAGCUCUCUAUCGUCUUAAUCAAUACAAUACACAUUCCAGAAGAGGGAACAUCAUGCGCUAUGCCAUCUUGUAUUACUUUUUCAUCCUCAAACUUUCCCACUGUCCACAGGUUGUGUAAAGUUGAGCAAUACUGAAGUUCUCGUUCUUCAAGCAUGACAUUUUCUUUCAAAUUACUGAUGUCUGGUCCAGUGAUUCUCAGUAUUAUAGUACAUGAAACUCACCUACAGAGCUUGUUAGAACACAGAUUGUUGGGCCCCACCCUAGAGGUUCUGAUUCAGUGAGUCUGAAGUAUGAAACUGAGAAUUUGAAUAUCUGACAAGUUCCCAGGUGAAGCUGUUGCUACCCAGGCCUGGGACACACACUUUGAGAAGUACUUUUUCUGUCCUCUGACUAAAAUAGCCUCUCUAUACCUCCUUGUUUCUUCGAAAUCUCCAGUCAAACACACACACACACACACACACACACACACACACACACACGCACACAUGAAAUGCUUACCAUAUUCUAUUUCCUAUGUCAAAGGAACCUUAUUCUCAAGGAACUUAUUGUUCUAUGUAGUAGCUAAGAAGCCCAUGCCUUAACAAACAACUGAUAUAACAAUGACUUCAUUUGGAAUCCCCUUUAUUCAAAAGCCGUAAGUAUAGAGGUAUAGGGAGAAGGCAAUGGCAACCCACUCCAGUACUCUUGCCUGGGAAAUCCCAUGGACAGAGGAACCUGGUAGGUUGCAGUCCACGGGGUCGUGAAGUGUUGGACAUGACUGAGUGACUUCACUUUCACUUUUCACUUUCAUGCAUUGGAGAAGGAGAUGGCAACCCACUCCAGCGUUCUUGCCUGGGGAAUCCCAGGGAUGGGAGCCUGAUGGGCUGCCGUCUAUGGGAUCACACAGAGUCGUGCACGACUGAUGUCACUCAGCAGCAGCAGCAUAGACGUAUAGGGUAGUACGGGAGGAAGUAAGCACAGGAAAUGAGUUUUGUAUUUUCAUUAUUAAUUGCAAGUAUAUUCCCCAGCUGGGAUCUGCCAGAGUUACUUUAUAGGAGGCAAUGUUAUUUCUAGUCUCGUUUUAGAUACAAACCUCCCAGGAGAAAUGCAUCAAAUAAGUGCCUUUCUUGCAUGGUUUUAAUGGACAUCUAGCAGCUGUUCUGAGUGUUUGAUCACCUUGGUGGUCUGUACUUUUCCAGUAGAUGGAUGCAAUCUGAGGUUAAUUUAGUUCUUCAGAGGGGCACAGUAGAAUCUCUCAAAUCUUUUUUUAAAACAUGGGAUUCAUCAUUUCCAAUUUAAAAGUUCUUAUUUUUCUCUUUGAAGAGUGGCUAGAUACCUUACUAAGUGUAUGCCUUUAGAAAAGGGGGGGCGGAAAUUAACUUAAAAUGGGGAUAGUAUUUUACCAUUGCAGCUAUUAUCUCUGCCUUAUGACAUUUCAACAUCUUUUGCAUGCACUACACUUAACCAGAACAGAUAAGUCCACAUUUUUUCUUACCCUUUCACUGAUUUAAUAGGCAAGAAUUGUUUCUAUGACAACAUCAACUCUGAGCUAUCUUUUCCUAGCUUAUUAAAUAGCACUGCUUACCUGGAAAUGUUUACAUGAUUCCUCUAUUUGUUGAUUGUGGAAGUUAGUCUAUGAAGUUAACCAAGAUGGUAAGACGAACAAUUAUUAUUGUCUCAUUUUAAAUCCAUUUGUGUUGAUCAUCUUGCAGCUUUCAAUUUGAUUUAGGAUGCUGAGGGAGGAAGCUUGGGUUUUGUUGAUGGUCUGUAUACCAGUGCUGCUGCUUUGUAACUCACACUGUAACUACAGGAAUCAUGCUAUUCAUGAGUAUAGUAGAUGCCUUUGGAGUUCAGCUGCACCUCUUUAACUUGAAUGUCAUGUGCUACAUUUCUUGCCAUCAGAGUCUUCUUUAUAUUAUUUACUCUGCUAUGGAACAAAAAUAAGCAAACAAAAAAAUAGUUUUGUGAGAAAUAAUUGUAGGAAAUUGGAUAUUUGUCCUAGAAAAAGUUUGGGAGACAGAGUUAUCUAUGUUUAAAAGGCUACCCUAUAGAAGAGGAAUAUAAUUUGUUCUACUUGAUUUAAUGCAUGUGAAUGUUCAAUAAUUCAAAUGCUAAACCAUCAAGACUCAACUUAGCAUCACUUGUGAAACCAUGUACAAGCUCCUCUGUCCUUAUUUUUUGAAGUAAAAUGCAGACUCAAGAGUAUGGGGAGGGAGGUGGGAAGGGGGUUCAGGAUUGGCGACACGUGUACACCCAUGGUGGAUUCAUGUUGAUGUAUGGCAAAACCAAUACAAUAUUGUAAAGUAAAAAAAAAAAAAAAAAAGUUAAUGAUUGGGAAAGGUGAAGAUGUAGAAACAAAGUAUAGCUUUUGGGCUUCGGAGCUGGUAACAAGUUAGACUAUAAUUCUGCUACAUAGCAGAAUCAUCAAACUCACAGUUCCCUGAAAGAUACAGAUAGAUUCCUGACACACAUCCGUAAAUUGUUUUUACAGGAAGCAGACCCCUUCCAGAGGAAAACUGCUGACUGCAAGAAGAUAAACCCUAGACUAGUUGAAGCUAGAAGGGGCAUGUGGGAGGUUAGGUCCCUGACCAGGGAUCAAACCUGGCAACUCUGAAUUGGAAGGUGAAGUCUUAACCACUGGACCACCAGGGAAGUCCCAGAAACACUUAUCUUGAAAAACGUAUCUUGACAUCUAUUUCUCUCCUUCCUCUACAUUAAUUGCAGCAAGACUGUCACUGUGUAAAGAAGAGGACCAAGAAGCUGCAGCUUUAGUAUGAAGAGCCUUAGACCCAGAGUAAAAGACCUAGGUUGUCAGCUUAGGCAUUGAAACUUGUUUGAUCUUGAGCAUGAAACAUCACUUUUCUGAAAUUCCAUUUCCUCGUUUGCAAAAAGAAAGGAAGAGAUUGAAUCAAAUAUGUCCAUUUUUCUAUGACCAUUAAGUAAGAAUAUUUCUAAUUUUGAAAUAGUUAAG
ensembl:lncRNA